CUUACCUGUACACUGCGGCACAAUACAGAGAUUCAGGCUGGGUACAGUCAGCACCGCUCUCUUAAAGGCAGCCUUCAAGGACAAAGCUGAGGCUGGAAAUGGCUGGACUAUACUGAAGCCACAAAUGGGGUGCACAUCAUGUUUGUGUGAAGGCUGCUCAGUGGAAAGACCAACAUUACAAAGUUGGCUGCUGGGAAAGUCUCCGGCACUCCAGUGACCCUUCAUUGGAUGAAGCAGUUAGAAAAUGGAUGGAUCGAUGAGUAACCACCAUAAAGUUUUUUUAAAUCUUUUUUUUUCUAGUGUGUCAUACCAUCACUGCAGAUCCUAGUGUUUAAACAAACCAGAUCUUGAAUUGAAGUUCAAGAAACAGAAUCAGAUUCUUGGAAACUCAGCUAUACAGUAUUUAUUUCUUCACGUUGAACUUCCUUAAAACUAC